rnacentral:rRNA from 1 species
UAGGGAAUCUUCGGCAAUGGACGGAAGUCUGACCGAGCAACGCCGCGUGAGUGAAGAAGGUUUUCGGAUCGUAAAGCUCUGUUGUAAGAGAAGAACGAGUGUGAGAGUGGAAAGUUCACACUGUGACGGUAUCUUACCAGAAAGGGACGGCUAACUACGUGCCAGCAGCCGCGGUAAUACGUAGGUCCCGAGCGUUGUCCGGAUUUAUUGGGCGUAAAGCGAGCGCAGGCGGUUAGAUAAGUCUGAAGUUAAAGGCUGUGGCUUAACCAUAGUAGGCUUUGGAAACUGUUUAACUUGAGUGCAAGAGGGGAGAGUGGAAUUUCAUGUGUAGCGGUGAAAUGCGUAGAUAUAUGGAGGAACACCGGUGGCGAAAGCGGCUCUCUGGCUUGUAACUGACGCUGAGGCUGAGGCUCCGGGACAGGAUAGAUACCCUGGUAGUCCACGCUGUAAACGAUGAGUGCUAGGUGUUAGACCCUUUCCGGGGUUUAGUGCCGUAGCUAACGCAUUAAGCACUCCGCCUGGGGAGUACGACCGCAAGGUUG